GGAUUGUGGCUCAGUGGUAGAGUGCUCGCCUAGCGUGCAUAAGGAUCUGGGUUCGAUCCUCAGCACCA
rnacentral:tRNA from 1 species